GAGCAAUGACGAAAAGGUUUUACUACAGACCUUUAUAAAGAUUUCUACACUUGAUCUGAGCUCU
ensembl:snoRNA